GCAGUUUUCCCCCCACAGUUUGGCCCCGAUGGACGUCCAUGAGCGGAAGCUGCAGGAAGAGGAUACACCGAAUGGAUGUUAACUUUUUGUUUGUUUUCCUAAACUUUUUGCAAAACCAGCUGCGUGCUUAUUUUGCAAGAAACCCACGCGAGGAUGGGCACGGAAGGGAAGCCCGAGUGCUGAGACCAGAGCUCAGCUGCUGAGGGGUGUGGAUCAGUCCCACGAAGCAGACGGAGGUCGGGAUCAGGAAGAUUACGACGGUGUAAACCUGAGAAACGAGGCCACGAUUAACCCACCUCCAUUUUUAGGGGCCCUACUUACUUUAGGAACCCUCCAUCUUUCAGUCAGCUGCUUUGGGAAGCGCACUGAGCAAACUCGGCUGCAAAAGGAUCAGGGAGGAGUCCCUGCUGCAACAAACUCAAAGCACUCCCAGUGCUCCGCCGAGCAAAAGCUCUCUCUGUUUUUACCUGUUUCUUUUUCCUCCUACAGAGCCUAAGACUUUUCCUGGAAUGCGACGAUCUCCGGGUGCCUCAACCCGAGCACACAGUCCUGCCCUCAGCCCCUUCCCCAGGGUGAGGGGGCAGCAGUACAUGCAAUGCCCAGCGCCCUCCCCCCCAAAGCACUUACUUGCAGAGAGCAGCAUAGGUGUGACCCUGCAGCAGGCAGGGAGGAGGAGAUUUAGCCUGGGCGUUUCCGGUUCAUUUAGGCACUUGGUCUCAGCUGGCCCCCAAAACACGAAUGCAAUCAGCAAAUGGAAGAAGGCAGCAGCUUGGGACUGAAGCUGCAGACAGCAGCGCUUCCUCAUGAGAGCCCUACAGACCCAAACCUGUUCUUGGUGAGGAGUGCGGGAUUGAAGGAGAAAACACAGCCAGCUGCUGUGCCACUGGGAGCUGAGUCAGCCACCGGGAUGGGGACUGCAGGUUAAGCUCUGUGGGUCACAGAAAUACUCUGUGCUCCUGGCUGUCAUCAGCUCCAUUCUUGCCGUGGAACAGGGGGCUCCACCAGCUCUGAUCUGUGCUCGAGCAAACUGUCAUUGCUCCUCAGCCUGGGGACAACCUUUCCAGGUCCAGGAAUGUUAAGAGCAGCUCUUGAGGACUUACUGUUAGCUCACCUGUGUUCUUCUAUUACCAGAGCACACCCCCAUCAACAGCUGGCUGGAUUCUAUCAAACUGAAAGAGGGGAGAUUUAGAUUGGAUAUAAGGAAGAUGUUUUUACACUGAGGGAGGAUGAGCCUCCCUGCACUGGGAUGGUGUCAGGACGGCGUGCCUGGGCUGCAGGCCCUGGGGCAGAGCAGGAGCCCAGCACUGCUGCACCCCAUGCAGGAGGUUGGCAGCCUACAGGCUGUUACAGUGCUGUGGAUGGAGGUGCUGUGCUGCUCAGCAUUGGCCACCUGCACCCAAAGCGGAACAUGCAGAGAGCGCGGAUGGUGAAAUGGAGGGCUUGGGCUGCAUCUGACAAAGAAAAAGACAUGUACUCCCCAGGGUCCCCCGAGGAGAACGUGCUCAGCGUCACAUUCUGCAAGCCACUGCUUUGAAUAAGAACUGCUUUACACAACCCCGUGUGAGCCAACAGCACAAGGGAGCUCAGCCCAUCUCCAGCACCUGCACUGCAGCCUUGCCUGCCCCAAAGCCCUCCCCAGCCCGCAUGCUUUUGGCUGCUUUGCAGGACACAGUCCUGAUGCUGCUGCACCCAAAAACUCUCUCCUACAUCCACUUCUCAUCCAACAGUUAAUAUCGUUCAGGCAUUAAGCUCGGAUCUAAAGGAUGUUGUACACACCGGGGCAGCCAUCGCUGAAACUACUGUAGCCUCCUGCAUGGCCUGAGUGCCUUUGGUCUGGUCCUGCACCGCACUGCAAGCAAAAUGAAUGCUUUGUUCUUCAUUUCACAGCACCGCAGCUGCACUUCACAACACAGGGUUGACAAAUCCUAAAGCAAACCAGGGAUAACACAGCGGGCAGGAAACCUUCCCCACCACCACGAUGUGCUCUGGGACUUCCUUUAGCCCAGCAGCUGCAGUGCUGGGGAAUGCAGUCAGGCAGAAAACAGAGCCCAGAAUAGGCAUGUGUGUCACUAAAACCACAUCUGAGGGCAGAGCUGAAGUCAGAGGAAAAGAAGUCAGAGGAAAAAGGUGCGACACACCAACGAGGGCUGCUGCAGAGAUGGGUUAAUGCAUUCCUUUAGACACAAGUGAGAACUGGUUCCGUAUGUUCUCUAUUGACCAGAUGUGUAACAAUGUACACCAUUUUACAUGGUGGUAGAAAAAUGAUAAAGCUAUCAGGAAAACCACAAUGUGAUUUAAGAAGUGAAAGUACAUUUGUGAGAAAGCCCUCUUCCAGGCAAUCCAACACCUAAUUUAAUGGGGCCAUCAAGAAUUAUGGAGGUGGUUUGAUUCGUUUUAGAAAGCAAAAUCUUCUGAGUGGGAAAAUGCUGAUUUAGCUGAGCAGUGCAUUUAAAAACGUGAAGCUCAAUAGCUGGACCCUGCCCAAUGCAUUCUCAUCAACAAAGCUCAGCUCACUCCAGGAGAAAGGAACAGAAACUCUGAUCUGAUAAGCAGGAUGCCAGACCAGAGCUGGUGGCUAAGCCAGGGCAGCUGUUUCAGUGCCAAACAGAGCAAUACCCGGACUCCAUUGAGCACCCGCAGCCCCAGGCACAGCCCAGACACCAACAAACCACCCCAAACACCUUCAAGUCCUGCAGUACUUCCACAACGCACACAGCAGCAGGUGAGAGAUGAAC
rnacentral:lncRNA from 1 species